rnacentral:lncRNA from 1 species
UGAAGCAGUUAUGCAAAUUUGAUAUCAUCAUGAAUUUAAGUAUGAUGCAAAUUUGAGAAAUUUUUGUUUUAUGCGGGAAGUUUGUUCCAUUACUGUUAUUUCUGGUUUGUAAUUUCUUCUAUCUGCUUUCGAUUCUUUUGUUAUUUUCAUCCAAUCCAAAUGCUGACUAGAAACAUUAUGUGAGAUAUAUUUCAGCUAGUAAAUGUGUACAAGAAUGUGUUAUCUUGUUUAAAAACCCUGACUCUCAGAGAUAUUCCCUUAAGAGACUUAGAUUAAGGCUGGGAACUGUUGUAGCUUCACUCCAUAGCUUUUAAAUUAUUUGAAAUAUUAUUGAAGAGAAUAUCUGCUGGACUGUGGAUGUUUGAUUCUUGUGCUUAUGCGCUAAAUUGAAUUUAUGUUUGCUUGUUUUGAAAGUAUUCUUUUGGGUAUGUUAAUAAUUCUUCAAUUAUGUAUCUUUGUUAAUCAGCCAGCAAAAAAAAAAGUUAGCAAUUAAUGCAUAUCUGUUUCUACCGUAUGUUUUUUUUUUGCUGCAGGAUAAGCUAGCAUAUUUUCGAAUAAAAGAGCUGAAGGAUGUUCUCACUCAAUUAGGUCUUGCAAAGCAAGGAAUAAAACAGGUAGGCAAGGAGAUUUCAUCGUAUUCGUAGCUAUUUAUAGCUGACUGGGGAUGCUUGCCUUUGAUUAAUUUUGAUGAGUUCAAGGGGUUUCUCAUGGAAAUCCGUUUGGUUGAAUUUCAAAAACCCUGAACCAAGUUCUUGAUUCUGCAGCUUUCUUUUAAUAAUUGUGUGAAUGUUACAUAGAUUGAUACCUUUGCCGCCUCUUUAAUAAUGAAAGUCUCCCAAUCCCUUGGACUAUAAGUGAGAUGGUAAUAUGGGAAGAGAAAAUUCCCACGGACUACAAGAAAUGUCCAUUGGACUAUAAACAAAAAAAGUCCCUUAAGAUCAACGAAAGUCCCUCGGUCUUUUCGACUAUAAAACAAGAUGGAAAUGUUGAAAGAGAAAACCCCCUUGAACUAUAAACAAGAAAAAUCCCAUAAGAUAAAACUAUAAACAAGAAAAGUCCCUUAAGAUCAACAAAAGUCCUCAAAUGGGAAUGUUGGAAAAGAAAAGUCCCUUGGACUAUAAACAAGAAUAGUCCCUUAUGAUCAACGAAAAAGUACCUUGGAUUAUAAACAAGAAACGAAAGUCCCUCAGUCCCUUGGACUAUAAACAAGAUGGGAAUGUUGGAAGAGAAAAGUCCCCUGUACUAUAAAUAAAAAAAGUCCCUUAAGAUCAACGAAAAAGUCCCUUGGACUAUAAACAAGAAAAGUCCGUGAAGAUCAACGAAAGUCCCCAAAUCCCUUGGACUAUAAACAAGAUUGGAAUGUUGGAAGAGAAAAGUCCUUUGGACUAUAUACAAGAAAAGUCCCUUGAGAUCAACGAAAGUCCCUCAGUCCCUUGGACUAUAAAAUAGAUGGAAAUGUGGGUAGAGAAACGUCCCUUGGACUAUAAACAAGAAACGUCCCUUGAGAUCAACGAUAAAGUCCCUUGGACUAUAAACAAGAUGGGAGUGUUGGAAAAGAAAUGUCCCCUGGACUAUAAACAAGAAAAGUCCCUUGGCACAUAAACAAGAAAAGUCUCUUUAGAUCAACCAAAGUCCCUCGGUCCCUUUGACUAUAAACAAGAUCAGAAUGUUGGAAGAGAAAAGUCCCUUUGACUAUGAACGCGAUAAAUCCCAUAAGAUCAACGGAAGUCCCUCGGUCCCUUGGACUAUUAAUAAAAUGGGAAUGUUGGAAGAGAAAGUCUAUUUAGUCGUUGUAAUAUACUAACCUUGCAGGUAAUUUUUCCAACAUGAGGAAAAAUGUUAACUAUGGAAUAAGGUACAAACACGCCAUGCAUGAGGUAAUCCUGUUAUUGGAAUGCCAUUCUAUGUUGAUUUGUGUUGUAUAGCUAAAUACCAUGUGGAUUUGUUGGUGGUAAAAACUGAAUAUAUUGGGUGGUAGUUUGAAACUGAUGUAAUUUUGCCUGUAUGUUAUGACGACUUGGAAAACAUAUCAUAAUGUGAUAUUGUUUGUUCUCUUAAUUUUGUAACUUACAUUACGAUUCUGCAAGCUCGAUUUAGAAUUAUAUGAUCAUUAGGGCUUUGGUUUGAAUCCAUUUACUGAGGAUUGAUAAAAAAAAUUAAAAAUCAGGAUUGGGAGUUAGAUUUUGUUUAAGUGGAAUGUAAAGCCUAAGACAUAUAUUCCACAAUUUGGCGUAUUAUUUUAGAUUAGAAUAAACAAUAAAAGUCUCCUAGUCCCUUGGACUAUAAACAAGAUGGAAAUGUUGAAAGAGAAAAAGCCCUUAGACUAUAAACAAGAAAAAUCCCUUAAGAUAAAUGAAAAAGUGCCUUAGAUUAUAAACAAGAAAAGUCCCUUAUGAUCAACAAAGUCCCUUAAGAUCAACGAAUGUCCCUCAGUCCCUUGGAUUAUAAACAAAAUGGGAAUGUUGGAAGAGAAAAGUCCCCUGAACUAUAAACAAGAACAGUCCCUUAUGAUCAACGAAAAAGUCCUUUGGACUAUAAACAAGAAAAGUCCGUUAAGAUCAACGAAAGUCCCUCCGUCCCUUGGACUAUAAACAAGAUAGGAAUGUUGGAAGAGAAAGUCCCCAGGACUACAAACAAAAAAAGACCUUUAGGAUCAAUGAAAAAGUCCCUUUUAAACAAGAAAAAGUCCGUAAAUAUCAACGAAAUUCCCAAGUCCCUUGGACUACAAACAAGAUUGGAAUAUUGGAAGAGAAAAGUCCUUUUGACUAUAUACAAGAAAAGUCCCUUGAGAUCAACGAAAGUCCCUCAGUCCCUUGGACUAUAAAAUAGAUGGAAAUGUGGGUAGAGAAAAGUCCCUUGGACUAUAAACAAGAAAGUCCCUUGGACUAUAAACGAGAUGGGAGUGUUGGAAGAGAAAUGCCCCCUGGACUAUAAACAAGAAAAGUCCCUUGGCGCAUAAACAAGAAAAGUCUCUUUAGAUCAACCAAAGUGCCUCGGUCCCUUUGGCUAUAAACAAGAUCAGAAUGUUGAAAGAGAAAAAUCCCUUUGACUAUGAACGAGAUAAAUCCCAUAAGAUCAACGGAAGUCCUUCGGUCCCUUGGACUAUUAACAAAAUGGGAAUGUUGGAAGAGAAAGUCCAUCUAGUCGUUUUAAUAUACUAACCUUGCAGGUAGUAUUUCCAACAUGAGGAAAAAGGUUAACUAUGGAUUAAGGUACAAACACGCCAUGGAUGAGGUAAUCCUAUUAUUGGAAUGCUAUUGUGUGUUGAUUUGUGUUGUAUACCUAAAUACCAUGUGGAUAUGUUGGUGGUAAAAACUGAAUAUAUUGGGUGGUAGUUUGAAACUGAUGUAAUUUUGCCUGUAUGUUAUGACGACAUGGAAAACAUAUCUUAAUGUGAUAUUGUUUGUUCUCUUAAUUUCGUAACUUACAUUACGAUUCUGCAAGCUCGAUUUAGAAUUAUAUGAUCAUUAGGGUUUUGGUUUGAAUCCAUUUACUG